rnacentral:lncRNA from 1 species
UGGUGGAGAGGCGUAAAUGUAUACUGGUGGAGGAGGUGAUUUCACGGGUGGAGGAGGUGAGUUGUAGUAGUAGGGGGGAGGAGGAGAUUUUACUGGUGGAGGUGGAGAGUGGUAAUAGUAGGGAGGUGGAGGAGAAGGUGACGGUGGAGGUGGUGACUUGUAGUAGUAGGGUGGAGGUGGUGAUGGGGAUGGUGGAGGAGGAGACUUGUAAUAGUAGGGUGGUGGAGGUGAUGGUGAUGGGGGUGGUGGAGACAUGUAGUAGUAAGGUGGUGGAGGAGAUGAUGAUGGGGGUGGAGGAGACUUGUAGUAGUAUGGUGGAGGGGGAGAAGGUGAUGGUGGCGGUGGGGACUUGUAGUAGUAAGGUGGUGGAGGAGACGGUGAUGGUGGGGGUGGGGACUUGUAGUAGUAAGGUGGGGGUGGAGAGGGUGAUGGUGGUGGCGGUGAUUUGUAAUAGUAUACAGGUGCAGGUUUUGGUGAUGGUGGUGGAGGAGACUUGUAGUAGUAAGGAGGUGGAGGAGAAGGUGACGGUGGAGGUGGUGACUUGUAGUAGUAGGGUGGAGGUGGUGAUGGGGAUGGUGGAGGAGGAGACUUGUAAUAGUAGGGUGGUGGAGGUGAUGGUGAUGGGGGUGGUGGAGACAUGUAGUAGUAAGGUGGUGGAGGAGAUGAUGAUGGGGGUGGAGGAGACUUGUAGUAGUAUGGUGGAGGGGGAGAAGGUGAUGGUGGCGGUGGGGACUUGUAGUAGUAAGGUGGUGGAGGAGACGGUGAUGGUGGGGGUGGGGACUUGUAGUAGUAAGGUGGUGGUGGAGAGGGUGAUGGUGGUGGCGGUGAUUUGUAAUAGUAUACAGGUGCAGGUUUUGGUGAUGGUGGUGGAGGAGACUUGUAGUAGUAAGGAGGUGGAGGAGAAGGUGACGGUGGUGGUGGUGACUUAUAAUAGUAUACUGGUGCAGGUUUUGGUGAUGGUGGUGGAGGAGACUUGUAGUAGUAAGGAGGUGGAGGAGAAGGUGACGGUGGUGGUGGUGACUUAUAAUAGUAUGGAUUUAUAAACGUAUGUCGGGGUUGGGGGAGGUGGUGACUUGUAAACAUAUGUUGGUGAUGGAGGAGGUGGUGACUUAUAAACAUAAGUUGGUGAUGGAGGUGGAGGAGAUUUAUAGUAGUAUGGAGCAGGUGUAGGAUUGGGUUUUUUGCAUUCGGCAUAAGGUGUCUUAGAGCCAUAAGCAAAUGGUUUUGCAUAGAGUACAACUUCAUAUUUAUUCUUUGACUUCACUUUGAGGUUAGCACCCUUAAUUCCCCAAUGAAGAUUUGUAGGAAUGCUACACUUUGAAUCCUUAGGAGCAUUGUGGAGUUUAGCCUUGCAAGCCUUUGCUCCAUAUUUGCUAUAUUCAAAUCCUUCAACAGUGAUGCUAAAUUUGCCAUUGAUCUUAGUGGUACCAUAACUCACAAUUUCUUUGUCACCGGCCUUGCAAGUCACUUCAACAACAACACCUAAUUCAUAGAAAGAAGAAAUAAUACUCAAUGAAUACUAAAAAUAAAUUUAAUUUACAAAGACACUUCUAAUGAUGAAUAGUAAAUUGUAAAGAAUAAAAAAUUUGAAAUAAAUUGAAGUAAAACAUAUAUUUGUACCUUUGAGGUGCUUCUUAGCAUGAGACUUUUCUGGGUAUUCCUUAUCAUAGCAUCUAAAACAGUAAACUUUUCCAACAACCUUGACUACAAAGUGAUGAUGUGGAGGAUAAUAGUGAGUAGGUGGUGGUGGGGAAGUGUAGUAGUAUGGUGGAGGAGAUGAUUUCUUUGGUGGUGGUGGUGAAGUGUAGUAGUAUGGUGAAGGAGACGACUUAGCUGGUGGUGGUGGAGAAGUGUAGUGAUACGGUGGAGGAGGUGAUUUCUUUGGUGGUGGAGGAGAGCUGUAGUAGUAUGGUGGAGGAGGUGACUUAGCUGGUGGUGGUGGUGAAGUGUAGUGAUAUGGUGGAGGAGGUGAUUUCUUUGGUGGUGGAGGAGAGUUGUAGUAGUAUGGUGGAGGAGGAGACUUCUUCGGGGGUGGUGGAGAACUAUAGUAAUAUGGUGGUGGAGGUGACUUCUUGGGUGGGGGUGGGGAGUUGUAGUAGUAAGGUGGGGGUGGUGAAGACUUAGGAGGCGGUGGAGAUUUAUAGUAGUAAGGUGGUGGAGAUGACGGUGAUGGUGGUGGAGGAGAUUUGUAAUAGUAAGGUGGUGGUGGAGAAGGCGAAGGAGGUGGUGGAGAUUUAUAGUAGUAUGGUGGAGGUGGUGAUGGUGAGGGUGGUGGUGGAGAUUUGUAAUAAUAUGGUGGCGGGGGUGAUGGUGAAGGUGGUGGAGGAGAUUUAUAGUAGUAUGGUGGUGGUGGUGAAGGUGAUGGCGGAGGAGGUGACUUGUAGUAAUACGGUGGAGGUGGUGAUGGUGACGGGGGAGGUGGAGACUUGUAUACAUAUGGUGGUGGUGGAGAGGGAGAUGGAGGUGGUGGAGACUUGUAUACAUAUGGUGGUGGUGGAGAUGGUGAAGGAGGAGGUGGAGAAGUAUAGACAUAUGGAGGCGGGGGAGAAGGUGAAGGAGGAAGUGGAGAUUUGUAUACGUAAGGUGGAGGCGGAGAAGGAGAAGGAGGUGGUGGUGACUUGUACUCAUACGCGGGAGGAGGUGGAGAAGAAUAUACAUAAGGGUCAGCCGAUACUACAUUUGCCACAACCAAUACGGCCAAAGCCACUAAGAUCAGCCGCAAACGACGACCCCUUGUGGGGCCGCCACCGUUAAACUUCAUUUUCGCCGGAAAACACAACCACCCACCCCUCAAAUAUGGCUACAAAAAUCUCCAAAAACUUGAAGAAAAAAAAGAGAGGAAGACUAUAGUGUUAUAGUUGAGAAGUGAUGAAUUUAGUUGAUUGAGUGUACAAAGUAUUUAUAGUAACAUUUUAAGAAUAACUACUAGCUGGUAUAGAGUUGUCAACAAGUGACCAAUUCAAUUAAUCUGAUUGUUAAUCAAUGAUUAAAAUUAUUAAGAACUUAAAACAGCUAGAUGAAUUUUUUAUUUUAUUUUUAUUUUUAAAGUCCAUUACUAGAUCACUUUGAAUUUUCCAUGCAACUUCUUUAACAAGUAAAUAUAAACAUAUCAUAAAAUGGUUUAAGGCAAGUGAGUGCUAAUUUAAAAUUAUUUCCACUUCUCUUGCAUUUUUGAACUUUUUGUUUUGUCUCAUAGAGAGUGAGAUCUCACAAUUAUUUGUGUUUUUCUAUUUACAAAUAAUUAUUCAUUAUGUAGUAUGUUCUUAAAUAUCUUUUGCAUAACAUUAUGGAUUAUCACGAGGUGGACGAUUCUUUACUUUAACGAGGUUUCGAGAUUGAAUUUUAGGAAUGAAGAUAUUACUGGUAGGGAGAAUAGGCCCUAUGCAUAGGAAAUUUGAAUUAGUUGAGCCGAUAAGUUCCUAAUACUAUGAUUAUGACGGAAAAGACAAAAUUGUCUUGAUUUAGAGUACAAAUUAUUUUGUAAAUUGUGGACUAGAAACUUAAUUUGUAAUACAACAAUUUCUUUAAGAUUGAAAUGUUUCAACAAUUACAAAUGGAAGUACUCUAAAAUGCUAUACAAUGUUAGUUUAGUUACAUUGCUUGUGGAGACUUGGCAUGACAUGCACAAAUCAAGAAAUGGUCCGAAUUUAAUUCAAUCAUUUUUUAUAAGGAGCGUUUUAUCGUCCAAUAUGAAAUGUUUUGACGUGAAUUUGAGUUAUUGAACUACAAAACAGAAACUAGACACCAGACACUAAACACCAGAUGAAAAAACCCCUAAAAAUAAAUAAAGAAUUACCUAAUCAUGUUUGUUUUGUUUAUUACACAUUUCUGAAUUGUAAGUGUAUAUAUAUAUAUAUAUAUAUAAUAAGAGAAUAUUUCUGUCAUUUUUGUUUAAUUACAGGGAAUAUUGGAUAUUAGUUCUGACAUUAUACUAAUUUAAAAUUACAAGCCGACAUAAGUUCAAUUAUUUCCUUAGUUGACUUUAAUUUCCUCCCUAAUUGUUACUUUAUUUUUUAUUAUUAUUUCUUAAUGAGGAUAUUAUAUGUUUGUUCCCUCAAUUACUAAUGAAUUUAGGUUUUGAUCCUUGUAAUAUUAGACGAAACACAUUCAAAUUUAAUGAGUUAAAAAGUGGAUUUAUCCCUUCAUGUACCGAAAUAUGCUAUAUUUAAACUAUUUUCAGAAUUAUAUUAUCCUAAAAUAUGAAGUAACAAUACAAAUUUAAAAUAACAUAUUGAUAAUUGAAUAAGUUAACUCUUAAUAAUUCACUAAUUUAUUAAAGUUCAAUGUCAGAUUGAUCAAAAGUGCAUAUAUGAUCAAUUGAUUGGACCACAAAAUAAGGAUCAAACUAUAUAUUUACAUAUUUUGUAACUAUAUUCUUUUUUCUUAUAUAAGUAUUUUCAUUGUAAUAAUAUUUGAAAAUGCAUGUGAAUUCUCAAUGAUGAGAUCAACUACAUGUGGAUGCAAUACUUAUAGUUUUUUUUGCAGCUUUUUAUUGGUCCAAUUUUUGCAAAAAGGAUCAUCAAAAGCAUAGAACAAACUAGAAAUGGAUUUUUAUCCUUUUUGGCGCAUUAUGAUGGGAAAUUUUAUAUGAUUUUUUUUAAUUUUUUUGAUGCUUGGUUGUAAGAGAAUAUUUUGGCAUUAUACAUAAAUAUGAUUUUUAAUUUGGCUUCAACUGAUAUUUAUGUCCUUCAACUUUAAGUGUACAUAAGUAACCACUAAAACUUGUACAAAAUUAAACAAGCAUAUACAUACCUUUUACAUGACGUCCUAUGUGACAAUUUGCAUCCUACAUGUCGCAUCCUACGUGUAAUAUGUCACAUAAGACGUGUGCGUCUACUUGUUCAAUUAUAUACAAGUUUUUAAGUAUCUACUUGUGUGCACUCAAAGUUUGAGGACAUGGAUACCAAUUGAAGUCAAAUUAAAAAACACAUUUAUAUGUUAUGCCUAAUAUUUUUUCUGCCAUAUGACGUUUCUCACUUUUAGGCGAAAGUCAUUUUCCUUUAUAAUUAUAACGAUUUUGAAUCACAAUUUUAUUCAGUACUUGGUUAUUAUUGAUCAAUUUUGCUUGUGAAAAAUAAUCGUUGUUAUGAAGCUAUAUAUCAUUUGGGACCAAAUUGACCUUCUUAUUGAUUUGUGCACAAACUAACAAAAUACAAUUUAAUUAGUAGGAAUGAAUAAUUUGAGGAUAUCCUCAAUACAAACAAUAAAUUACAAAGAAAUAAACACUAUGAAGCAUUGUUCCAUUGACGUUUGAAUCUUCUCCUCAAGAAGCCAUCAUAAUUUAUUUUGUGCUUCAAACUAAAACCUGAAAAGAAACAAUCAAAAAGAAAAUUAGAGCCUUAAUUCAAAGAAAAGAAGUAGACUAAAUUAAUCUGUGAAAAAGAAUCACAAUUCAAAUGUCAACUCACUUGAUUGAUUGUGGAGAAUGAUUGAACACUUGAAAUUUCUUAGUAGUGAAUGGGAGGUGGUGGUGAAGCGUAAAUAUAUACUGGUGGAGGAGGUGAGCUAUAGUAAUAAGGAGGGGGAGGAGACUUUACUGGUGGAGGGGGAGAGUGAUAGUAGUAAGGAGGUGGGGGAGAAGGCGAUGGUGGAGGAGGCGACUUGUAGUAGUAGGGUGGUGGAGGAGAUGGUGAUGGAGGUGGUGGUGACUUGUAGUAGUAUGGUGGAGGGGGAGAAGGUGAUGGAGGAGGAGG